GGCGUCCGGGUGAGUAACACGUAGGAAAUCUUUUCUCGAGCGGGGGAGAACGUCCCGAAAGGGACGCUAAUACCGCAUAUGCCCACGUUGACUUUGGUCGAUGAGGGGAAAGCUGGUCUUUGUAUAUACGCUAGCACUCGAGAAUGGUCCUGCGGCGCAUCAGUUAGUUAGUGGGGUAACGGCCUACCAAGGCGAAGAUGCGUAGCUGGUCUGAGAGGAUGAUCAGCCACACUGGCACUGAAAUAUGGGCCAGACUCCUAUGGGAGGCAGCAGUGGGGAAUAUUGGACAAUGGGCGUAAGCCUGAUCCAGCCACGCCGCGUGAGUGAUGAAGGCCUUCGGGUUGUAAAGCUUUGUGGGGAGGGACGAAAAUGGCCAGGAAGAAACGCCUGGUCCUUGACGGUACCUCCUUAGUAAGCACCGGCUAACUCUGUGUUAGCAGUUGCGGUAAUACAGAGGGUGCGAACGUUGCUCGGAAUUACUGGGCGUAAAGCGCGUGUAGGCGGAUUGCUAAGUCGGGCGUGAAAGCCCCAGGUUUAACCUGGGAACUGCGCUCGAAACUGGCAGUCUUGAGUAUCGGAGAGGGUGGCGGAAUUCCUGGUGUAGAGGUGAAAUUUGUAGAUAUCAGGAGGAACACCGGUGGUGAAGGUGGCCACCUGGACGAUUACUGACGCUGAGACGCGAAAGCGUGGGGAGUAAACAGGAUUAGAUGCCCUGGUAGUCCACGCUGUAAAUGAUGGGUGCUGGGUGUCGCGGGUAUUGACCCCCGCGGUGCCGUAGCCAAUGUGUUAAGCACCCCGCCUGGGAAGUACGGCCGUAAGGCUAAAACUCAAAGGAAUUGACGGGGGCCCGCACAAGCAGUGGAGCAUGUGGUUUAAUUCGACACCAUGCGCAGAAUUUUACCCGGGCUAGAAAAGCAUGGAACCCUUUAGAAAUAUUGGGGUGCUCGUAAGAGAACCAUGAUUUAGGUGCUGUAUGGCUGUUGUCAGCUCGUGUUGUGAGAUGUUGGGUUAAGUCCCGUAAUGAGCGUAACCCUUGUCCUUAGUUGCCAUUAUUUAGUUGGGCAUUCUAAGGAGACUGCCGGCGUUAAGCCGGAGGAAGGUGGGGAUGACGUCAAGUCCUUAUGGCCCUUAUGUCCGGGGCUACACACGUGCUACAAUGGUCGGUAUAGAACGUCGCGUACCCGUAAGGGGUAGUCAAUUGGCAAAAGCCGACCUUAGUACGGAUUGCAGUCUGUAAUUUGACUGCAUGAAGCCGGAAUUGUUAGUAAUCGCUAAUUAGUAGGUAGCGGUGAAUAUGUUUCCGGGCCUUGUACACACCGCCCGUCACACCAUGGGAAUCGAUUGCUCCAGAAGUGGCCGAGCCAACCCGUAAGGGAGGCAGGUCCCCAAGGAGUGGUCGGUG
rnacentral:rRNA from 1 species